rnacentral:sRNA from 12 species
CCUGUGAAGAGUCAUAUCAAAUGGAAGUAGCUUAUGCAAAACCAGACUUGUUGAAGCAGGAA